GCCAUUUUUCACAUUAAUUUCUUAUUCUUAAAUGGGAUGAUUAAAAUAUUAUUCAAUAAACCUACAGUUGAUACCAAAACAUGUCCAGCCAAUUCAAUAUUCCCACUUGAACAUUCAGCCAUUCUUAUAUGCAUUUUCUUUAUCUGCUGUAAGUUCUUUUGGAAAGAAAAACAUCGGAUUGAAUCAGCUUGCAUGUUCCACCCAUCACUAGUGCUUAAAAAAAGAGAGUAGCACUUUCCAUGGAUUUCCUGGAGAAAAUUUUAGAGUUGCAAGUCAAACAAACUGGAAAGCAAUAUUCCU
rnacentral:misc_RNA from 1 species